rnacentral:lncRNA from 10 species
AUUCAUUCCUCUUUAUAGUUUAACUUUCUGUUAGGUGGAACCAUAUGAAAUUUCCAUCUCCGCAGGUCACAAAGACCAAAUAUCUGAAAUUUCAUAUGGCCAACCUAUAGUUGAAAAUAUGUCAGUGCUUUCUAUAUAUUUUGUGUUUUGCUUGGAUUAUUGUGCAUUAUUUUGUUUUGUUUUUGUUUUCCAGCAAUUGGGAGCAGUAGUUUCAGCCCACGACCAACUCACCAGUUCUCUCCACCACAGAUUUACCCUUCCAACAGACCAUACCCACAUAUUCUCCCUACCCCUUCCUCACAAACUAUGGCUGCAUAUGGGCAAACACAGUUUACCACAGGAAUGCAACAAGCUACAGCCUAUGCCACGUACCCACAGCCAGGACAGCCGUACGGCAUUUCCUCAUAUGGUGCAUUGUGGGCAGGCAUCAAGACUGAAGG